CCGCUAUCACACCAGUCGACCCAAGAAAAAGUGAAUGAAAACUUUGAUCAUCUCAUCUCCAUUGUGCUAUGUACUCCAUCCCAAAUCUCCUGAUGUGGAAUAUCAUCCUCACAUGUCUUCUUACAUAAUGGGCCAGGGUUAUGCGAUGAAAAGUCAGUAGAAGUAGAUUGAAUUUAGAGUGUGCUCUAAAUUCAAUGUGGAGAAAUUUGGACACAGAGGCAGACACACAGGGAGAACCCCGUGUGACAAUGGAGGAAGAGGAUGCAUUUAUGCUGCCACAAGCCAAGGAACACCAAAGAUUGUCAGCAGCCACCAGAAGCUAGGAUAAAGGCAUGGCACAUCACUCCCUCUGAGCCCCCAAAAGGAGCCAAGACUGCUAAUACUCUGAUCUCGGACUUCUGGCCUGAAACAGUGAGAGAAUAAGGUUCUGUUGUUUCAAGCUACCCAGCUUGCGGUAUUUUGUCACAGAAGCACAAGGAAUCAAGUACAUUUUCUUUCUCAGCACUUGUGAUAAUUUGAUUUUUUCUUUACUCAGUGGUUGUUUCACACCUAUGUCCCCAUCAGACUGUAAGCUUAAAGAGACCUGGAUCUG
rnacentral:lncRNA from 1 species